rnacentral:rRNA from 1 species
UACAGAGGGUGCAAACGUUGCUCGGAAUUAUUGGGCGUAAAGGGGAGGUAGGUUGUCCUGUUUGUCUGAAGUGAAAUCCCUGGGCUUAACCCAGGAAGUGCUUUAGAAACGGCAGGACUAGAGUUCUGGAGAGGGUCGUGGAAUUCCCGGUGUAGCGGUGAAAUGCGUAGAGAUCGGGAGGAACACCUGAGGCGAAAGCGACGACCUGGACAGAUACUGACACUCAACUCCGAAAGUGCGGGGAGCAAAC